ensembl:lncRNA
AGAAGUCCUAGGGGCAGGGCAAGCUGGUCCCCAAAAGAGGAUCAGAACACCAGAGAGACCAAGAAGGCCCUGGACAGGCCAGCUCACUUGGUCCAGCCCCAGGCCCCACACCUGUAACAAGGGCCGUGAUGACAGAGGUCUCAGCAAACAGCCCGCGGCCAAGGAGCUGGUGCAGCGAGGAGGGCAGGGGCCCACGCGCAGCCAUCCUCCAGAGAGCAUCAGUCUAGGCUGCAAGCUUGAAGCGGAGCAGAGAGUGGGGAGCAGACCAUUCUCUCAGGGGCUCUGAGGGGCGCCUUCUGGUUCACAGGGUUGGUCGGCCAGUACAGCCUGAGGUUCCACCACCUUCCCUGAGGACAUGGUCAUUCUGGAAGGCCAUGGAAUUAAUUCACUGGGUAUCAGGCACUGGAUACACAUCACUUCAAAUUCUCAACACCCUGGAAAGGUCAGGGUCAAGGUCGGUCGCCGCUUUCUGCCAUCCAGCAUCAGCACCCUCUUCCAAUUAGCACCAUCCAUGCGCCCUGGGGGAUGCGCCCCUCGGCGCAGCGCAGUCUCGGUGGAAGGAUCGUGUGUUACAGGUAUAAUCAAAGCGGUUCAUUUUCCCUCUCCCUUUCCUCUAUGGACUCGGCCCAUCGGACACUGUCCCAGGAUUUUGAGAUUUCAGCUGGUGAUGCAAAGAGAAGCCUGGGUUCAUCUGGAACAUCUGGAGCACUAUGAAUGGGUCGCCUGGCCGUGUGGGUCCUGCAGCCCUGCGAGAUCCCUUGGUGGCUGCCUGCUUUCCAAGCCUGUUUUCAUGCCCUUCAGUUCUUCGAACCUCCAGCCCCCAGAGCUGCUCAGCGCAUGCCAUUUGUUGUUUCAUGUAGGGUCAGUUUCUGCUGCCUGUAAUCACGAGUUUGGUCUGGUCUCUAGGGAUUUGUGGUCCCCAGUUUACAGAUCAGAAAGUUAAGCUCUGGACUGUGGCUCUUAAGCAAAAAGCUCCCCUCCUAGAGAACUCACAGAUCAAGAAGUAUCCAUCUAGGCUGGGCCAGGCCGGAUCUGGAGGUUUGGGAUCUAAAAAGAGAAUGACUCUCUGGGUUAGUUUCCUCACUGAGGCACGCACA